GGCAGGAAGAAGCCAGGAGAUGAAGCUAUUCAAUGCUAAUCAAGGUGAUUAACUACAACAUUCACACUGGCCUCCAACUGACAGAGUUCUUCUCUCACCCUGGACUUUCCACAGAUAUAUAUAAACCUUCCUUGCUUACUUUCUCCAUACCUCACAAACCUCUGAGGAUGCCUGCCACAGAUGUGGGCAAAAGGUCAGGAGAGAAUACUUCUGGAACAUGGCCAUGCAGCCCAGAAAACAUACAACAACCCUGUGAUCCCGGCCAUGAAAGCCUUCAACAACACACUAAAUUUUUAUCUUUUCUCUUUAAAGGGAAAGCACACAGAACUCAUCAUAGAGACAGAGGAAAUAAAGAACAUUCCUCUUCUGAGAGUUUCCCAUCCAGCUAUGAUCUAGGGGAAGUGCACGGAACUCAUUAUAGAGGCAGAGGAAAUAAAAAGGAAUAUCAUAAUUUUCCUUCUCUGGCUCUCCCAUCCACUAAUACUCACGGGAAAGCACACAGAACUCAUCAUAGAGACAGAGGAAAUAAAGAACAUUCCUCUUAUGAGAGUUUCCCACCCAGCUAUGAUCUAGGUAAGAAACAUUCCCCUUGAUAGAAGCUUUUCAUAUUCUGGAUAUAUGGAGCCCAAUA
rnacentral:lncRNA from 11 species